GCUGGUGUGAUGUAGUGGUUUGAAUGCUGGACUAUGGCUCUGGAAACCAGGGUUCGAAUCCCUGCUUGACCA